GACGAACGCUGGCGGCGCGCUUAACACAUGCAAGUCGAGCGAGAACCAGCCCUUCGGGGCUGGGGACAGCGGCGAACGGGUGAGUAACACGUGGGUAAUCUGCCCUCGGCACCGGGAUAGCCCGGGGAAACCCGGAUUAAUACCGGAUGGCCUUUCGAGCUCUCGGGCUUGAAAGGAAAGGUAGCUUUGGCCUCCGGCCGAGGAUGAGCCCGCGGCCGAUUAGCUUGUUGGUGGGGUAAUGGCCCACCAAGGCGACGAUCGGUAGCUGGUCUGAGAGGACGAUCAGCCACACUGGGACUGAGACACGGCCCAGACUCCUACGGGAGGCAGCAGUGGGGAAUCUUGCGCAAUGGGCGAAAGCCUGACGCAGCGACGCCGUGUGCGGG
rnacentral:rRNA from 1 species